GGCUAGACCUGGACCCAGCAGGACAGAUGCCUUGACCUCAGAUGAGGUUGUGCUUUUCCAUGAGGACAGUGUAGACGCUUCAGCUCAGGAAGCAGGCGUAUCACAUCAGGAGGUCCCAUCAAGUGGUCCUGUUCAUCCAGUAGAUGCUUGGAUUACAGAGCUGGAUCCCAUCAAGGCAGCACAACUGUUUACCCAUGUCACUCGUGAGGCCCACAGAGAUGGCGACCCCUUGUCGUUGAAUUUUAAUCUGCAGGAUUCAGUGGAGGACAGGAACAAGGCUAUUAUAUCUUUUUAUAAGAGGCCGCAUGUGCAGUGGGUGAAUCAACAGCA